rnacentral:tRNA from 1 species
CCGAUGUAGCUCAGUUGGCUAGAGCGUGUGAUUUGUAAUCUCAAGGUCGUGGGUUCGAUUCCCUCCAUCGG